CAAAUAUUUUUAUGUAUAAAAAAAAAAAUCAGAACUGGACUUCGCAUUUUAUUGCACUAGUUGAGUAGGAACACUUAAUUCUCUGCAUGUUGUGCCAAUAAAUAUAUAGAUAAAUGUUGCUCACUUUUUCAAGUAAUUUUGCAAUGAAAUCAUGCAAAUUUCAUUGUUAAUAUGAAUGAAAUUUCAAGGUAAGUUUAGAAUCAGAUUUACAGAUUAUCAG
rnacentral:lncRNA from 1 species